rnacentral:lncRNA from 1 species
AGCAUAUUUUAAUCUCCGAAGAAAAAUUCAGGGAACCUGGGGGACCGCCAGUAUGUGCAACUGAAAGUUUAGUAUUUCGAAUACCAAUUCGGGUAAGAAUCUCUUACCUUAUUCCUUGUUAUGGAAUUGAAGUCUAAUUAUAAAUAAUACAGUAUUUUGUGUAAUUUAAAAAACUUCGAUAAUUAAUUACAGGUUACUAAUGGAGCC